AUAUAGUACACACUACUGGUUCAUUUCAGAGCUUUGUUGGAUAUAUCAGAUGUGUUGGGAACCUGCUAUCUGUGUGCCUCCCUUCAAGGCAGCAAUCUCGAUAAAAGUGCUUGUGGAAAACAUCAACAAUCUCAACAAUCAAGUGACAAUGUGGAGAUAAUGGUAAUGCACCCCACGUUAACUUCCAACAGGAUGAUAGUUUGAAGUAUGAUAGCAGGAAAUGACAGUAGCCUUACAAGAGAGUUGGUAGAAGCAAUACGCCAAGGCAAGGAGGCUUAAAUGUUCUAAAGGCUCAAAGGGACUCUUGGAAAGGGACCGAGCUAGAAGAUUACAGCAGGAACUUGAAUUGCAAGCUUCUGUUUACAAGUUUUGUAGAUCACAGAUAAAUUGGCAAGCAUUGAAUUGAUUCAAAAUUGUGUACCAAAGACAGUUAAAUCUGUAUACACCACACAUGCAACACAGAAAUGCCAAUGUGCAUUAGAAAAACGAAUAUAAACUUCACUCAUGUAAACUGCUUAUAGAAAGAACUCAAGGUGUAUAUCUUUUUGGUAGAAGACAAAAAUUAAAAAGUACAAAAUUAAUAAUAAUGAGGAAACUGAAAAUACCAUCAUUGGCUUUCUGGAUAAACCACUCAUACGCCACAAAGAUAGCACUAUGAACUAGGAAACAAAUGUAACUUUGUUGAUGUAAACAGCAAAUAGAAAGGAAUCAUGAUGUAUUUUUUUCUUUUUGUAGAAAAUAAAAAUUAAUAUACAAACAAGAAUGAAGAAACUGGAAUGGCAAUUGAAUUUAUUAACAAUAAAUAAACCAGAUAAUAUCUGAAAAGUAGUCCUUCCAAAACUCCACAUCAACAGAAAUGCGUAUACCAGUAUAUUAUAUGUAAAAUUUAUUAGUGUAAGUGCGUGGAGGCAUCUGUUUUUGCACUCGAGUGAAAUGUGGCUGUAUAUAUAUAGUGCUAUUAAAGUAAAACAAGAAAUUGGGAAAUUAUCACUUUUAUGCCCCAUGUUAAUUGUCUACUAAAUUAAAUUCAAUGUAUUUUACUUAUAUGGCUGGCUGAUCUUGGUGAAGGGGAAAGUUUGGAUGAAACUGUGGUGGAUUCUGCGGAGGUCCGCAAGAGAAGGUUCGAAAAGUUUAGUGAAGGGGAAUCUUGUAAAUAUCCCCGUAAUAAUGAGAGUAACUGUGAUGAAGACAGUAGAAUUACUUUCAAGAAUUAAUGAUUUGUAUUUUUUUUUUAGUAACAUCUCAAUUGUUCAACUUAAUAAAUUUUCACUUCUAUUUGAUUUUUAGUGAUUUUUUCGCAAUAGUUUAUUAUGGAUUGAUUUCAAUACCAUGAAUUAUUGUAAU